rnacentral:lncRNA from 1 species
CUUUGAGGUAAGGAGUGGGUGUACUAUGAUUAUCAUCAUGUUACAGAGGAGGAUACAGACCCAGAAAUAUUCUGUAACUUGCCCAAGGACACACAGCUGGAAGUUGGCAGAGUUUGGACUAAAAUUCCAUAGCCAAAGCACUCUGCAACCUCCUUUCAGCCUGGAAGCGUCAUAGGAGUUUCCAAUAGAUGGGCCUCCUAAGACUCAAAGAACUGUUAGAACUGUGAGAAAUCCCAAACAGAACGAAAUUCCGACCUAAUGGAGCCGAAGAAUCAGCAGGAGCCCAAGUUCUAGUUUGCUGGGACAAGGAGGAAAUUCUGUAAAAACUCAAUGCCUUAUGCAAGGUCAAAUAAUUAAUGUCUUCCAGCAGUUUCCAUCCUCUGAGAAGGGCCCAACCUGCAUGCCACCGUGUCCCUUCAAGUGCAGGCAGUCUGGGAACGCAGGAUAAUGGAUCCUUGAGCGUGGCUAAUACUUGAUGGAAAAGAAUCUUUCUCUUCUGGGGCUACAAUGUAAUUUCAUACUAAAUUUACUGUGGUUUAUAUAAUUCUUUUCAUUCACAGCAGAAGGAGGUUCUUUGCUGCUUCCCUUUUCAGAAACUUGGAGACCAUAUAUCUUUGCAAAGUAGAUUUUUAAAAAUAAAACAAAGAAGAAAAGAUUAAACCAGAGAAGCUCCCAAGUUUUCUGCCUUCUGCCUGGACCAGCUUCCUGUGCUUCUUCCUUUCCAAAAUUGAUGUGGUAAAUGUUAUUGCAGUAGCCCUGGCUCACAAAAGCCCAGGCCUUCCAAGAAUGCAACCUUCAUGGAGAAAUUCUGCGACUCGUUCUCCUCUGUGGAGGCUGGAGAGUUAAGAUGUAGAAGGAGAGAGACAAAGAGACAAGGAGAAAUUUGCUUUAUUAGUGGCUUUCAAGAGAAUGAGGCCAGAAGACAGAGUCCUGGACCUUAUCCACUUCAUCAUGAGAUGACAAUGCAAGAAGUCCCUUCCCAGGUGCUGGCAUCUUGAUCCUGGACUUCCCAGCCUCCAGAACUGUGAGAAACAAAUUUCUGUUUAUUAUAAAUUACCAUGUCUAUAGUAUUCUGUUAUAGCAGCACAAAGUGGACUAAGACAUCAUUCAAAAAAAUUUUAAGUACCUACUGAUGAUAGGGAGUGUGCUUAGGAAAUACAAACAUGAAUAUAACAUAGCUCCUCCUGUCACAGAAUUUACAGAUCAGGGGAGAAAAUAGACACGUUUUCCUACGAGAUAACUGAUGACAGUGUAUUUUUGUUAGUAGCAAUUGCUAUAGCAAAUUCUAAGAGAAAUAGCUUUGCUAAUCUGGAUUCACAGAAAACUAACGUGUGCAAAACAUCAGAUAAUGAUUCUGUCAUAGUCCACCUGACUUCCCUUUUGUACUGGUUACUGGGAAGGUCAGAACUGAAGGUGAGGUUCAACUCUAGUUGUUUUUAAUGUCUCCUCUCUUUUUCUCCAACAUGAUUUUCCAUUUUCUAGUUCUAAUGUUAAAUUCAAACUGCAAAAGGCAUUGUAUUUGGCAUAAGUUGGGGUAAUAUCAUGAAUAAAAUGUGUGCUAUUUAGAUCAAUACAAAUGGAAAGUACAGUUGUAGAUCAAUUAGAAUCGUCCCAUUCUUGUUUUUGUGCUUGGGACGGCACCUGCUGAGAACACGUCUUUACUACAACCACUAUUACAACUACCACUGUUUAUGCUACUGCUAGUAAUAACCACAGCAGAAUGUCUGAGCCUAGUAUACCAG